rnacentral:rRNA from 1 species
CUGGCGGCGUGCCUAAUACAUGCAAGUCGAACGGUCUUUCUAUGGAAGCUUGCUUCCACUGAGAAGAUAGUGGCGAACGGGUGAGUAACACGUGGGUAACCUGCCCAUAAGAGGGGGAUAACAUCCGGAAACGGGUGCUAAUACCGCAUAGUUUUCUUGAUUGCAUGAUUGAGAAAGGAAAGACGGCCUUUGUGCUGUCGCUUAUGGAUGGACCCGCGGCGUAUUAGUUAGUUGGUGAGGUAACGGCUCACCAAGACGAUGAUACGUAGCCGACCUGAGAGGGUGAUCGGCCACAUUGGGACUGAGACACGGCCCAAACUCCUACGGGAGGCAGCAGUAGGGAAUCUUCCGCAAUGGACGAAAGUCUGACGGAGCAACGCCGCGUGAGUGAAGAAGGUUUUCGGAUCGUAAAACUCCGUUGUCAGAGAAGAACAAGUUGGAGAGUAACUGCUCCAGCCUUGACGGUAUCUGACCAGAAAGCCACGGCUAACUACGUGCCAGCCGCCGC